AGGAAUAUUGCGCAAUGGGCGAAAGCCUGACGCAGCGACGCCGCGUGAAGGAUGACGGUCUUCGGAUUGUAAACUUCUGUUAAGCGGGAAGAACGGUCAGCCUCUAAUAUAGGUUGAAGAUGACGGUACCGCUAGAGACAGCACCGGCUAACUUCGUGCCAGCAGCCGCGGUAAUACGAGGGGUGCAAACGUUAUUCGGAUUUACGGGGUGUAAAGGGUGUGUAGACGGUUUGUUAAGUUUGUUGUUAAAUCUUCCGGCCUAACUGGAAGCUUGCGAUGAAAACUGGCAAACUUGAGAAUGAAAGAGAGAAGUGGAAUUCUCGGAGUAGCGGUAAAAUGCGUAGAUCUCGAGAGGAACACCGAUGGCGAAAGCAGCUUCUUGGUUCAUUUCUGACGUUGAGACACGAAAGCGUGGGGAGCAAAC
rnacentral:rRNA from 1 species